rnacentral:rRNA from 1 species
GAUGAACGCUGGCGGCGUGCCUAAUACAUGCAAGUCGAGCGAAUGACGAGAAGCUUGCUUCUCUGAUUUAGCGGCGGACGGGUGAGUAACACGUGGGCAACCUGCCCUACAGAUCGGGAUAACUCAGGGAAACCUGGGCUAAUACCGGAUAAUCCUUCGAAUCACAUGUUUUGAAGUUGAAAGGCGCUUCGGCGUCACUGUAGGAUGGGCCCGCGGUGCAUUAGCUAGUUGGUGGGGUAACGGCCUACCAAGGCAACGAUGCAUAGCCGACCUGAGAGGGUGAUCGGCCACAUUGGGACUGAGACACGGCCCAAACUCCUACGGGAGGCAGCAGUAGGGAAUCUUCCACAAUGGACGAAAGUCUGAUGGAGCAACGCCGCGUGAGUGAUGAAGGUUUUCGGAUUGUAAAACUCUGUUGUAAGGGAAGAACAAGUACGUUAGGAAAUGAACGUACCUUGACGGUACCUUAUUAGAAAGCCACGGCUAACUACGUGCCAGCAGCCGCGGUAA